ACAGGAUGCAGAUGAAGCCUCACCAGCCAUCAACCCUCUCUCCUCAGACCAGAGCUGCCCAGGAGGAACACCACAGGGAGUGGCCCUAGUGUCACUGAAGGGGACUCGGAGGGUGAGCCUUCUCUGUGGACAGUUCCAGGACAGUGCCUCCCUCGAUGGCUACAAGAGGAAGCUGUGGUGGCCUCGGCCCAGCAUAUGGACAAGGAGGUGUCACUCCUCCAUGAAACAACGUCACACCCACUCUGUCUCACAGCUCCUGGCUGGAGUACCCAGCUGCAGCACUCAGUACCAGGAGUGCAAGAGCACAUCCCGAAUGGAAGAGGCCCCACAGGGACAUAACAACUCAGCCAGUUAAGGUCCCUUACACCAUUAGACAAUCUUCACACUCCUGUCCUCCUGAUGCUCAUGCCUAGAAGAAGACACAGAAAUAGAACUGUCAACAAAGAAAGCCAGACAUCAUCCUGGGAACUGCUCAAGUGUUAUAACCCCUGCCCAGGCCAUCUCUCAGCUCUGAGCUUUGGGGUCCUCAGUCCUCUAUGAAAGAAGCCCUCACCAAACUGCUCCAACUUGUCUGUUUGGCUUCCCCCUCCACCCACCAUUCCUCUUGUACAUUCUUCUCUUGUGAUUUCCCACCCCAGGUCCCCCACUUGCAAUAUCUAAACCUUGAAAGCCCAGUCCAAAUAUCACUUCUCUUGAGAUCUCCCCUAACUCCUUCAGCUGGGAGUCUAUCCCUCUUUGAUCUCUAUGGGCCUUGUUUGCUGUCCCUAUCACCCCUGCUCUGUAUUGUGGGGCUUUUUUGUGUUUGUGGAUCUACUUUACUAGCUGUCAAGAACCCAAAGACAAUGUCUGUCCCAGGAAGGCCUUGCUUAUAGUAGAGAUAAGAGAUUGUAUAGAGAAGGAGCAAGAAAGUGAAGCCAAGACCCAAUGACUGGGACAGGGGCCAAGGACACAGAGCAGGAAGACUCUGUGUACCAGGUGCUUGCAUCUCAGUGCAGGAGGAUCUGACAAUCAGUGGCACCCUGCAUUAGUCAGCUUCACAUUACCAUAACAAAAUCCUGAGAUCAUUAACCUAUAAAGAGAAAGGAUUUAUUUUGGCUCACAAGUUCUGUAAGUUCUAGUUUAAGACUGGUUGACCCAUUACUUUGGGCCUCUGGCAAAGGAGGCACAUCAUACCAGGAAUGUAUGGCAGAAAAAAAACAACUUGCAUCACAAACCAAGAAGGAAAGAGGAAGAGAUUGGAGCCUAAUAGUCCUCUUCAAGGGCAAUGACCUAAGGACCUCCCAUAAGGCCCUAUCUCCUAAUAUAGUGACACCCCCUUUCUCCACAGAAAUAUUCACCAUGGUUGAUUUUAGG